CGACCUCAGAGCAGGCGAGAUCACCCGCUGAAUUUAAGCAUAUUAUUAAGCGGUGGAAAAGAAACUAACCAGGAUUUCCCUAGUAGCGGCGAGCUAACAGGAAUGAGCCCAGCACCGAAUCUCGCGGUUUCGCCGCAGGGAAAUGUGGUGUUCGGGAGGAUCCGCUUAACCCGAGGUGCAGCGUCGCGUCCAAGUCCAUCUUGAAUGGGGCCACUUACCCGCAGUGGAUGCCAAGCCCGUAGCGACCGGUGCGCGUCUCGGGAGGAUCUCUCCUCAGAGUCGGGUUACUUGAAAGUGCAGCUCUAAGUGGGUGGUAAACUCCAUCUAAGGCUAAAUACAACCACGAGACCGAUACCGUGAGGGAAAGUUGAAAAGAAAUUUGAAGAGAUAGUUCAAAAUUACGUGAAACGGUUCAGAGUAAACGUAAGAAACCAAAAUGAUCAAACGUGGAGAUUCAUUGUCAGCGACGCUGGCUUCACGUCGGUGAGCGAUGCCACGCUGGGCCCUCGCGGCUCGCGCGCCGGCACGCCGCCUUGCGUCCGAUGUCCGGCCGUCGUCGUCGUGCACUUCUCCCCUAGUAGAACUUCGCGACACGCUGAGUGUCGGUCUACGGCCCGCUUGCGGUGGCACGGUUUGCCAUAGCAGCUUUUAGCCGUCCGAAGACGUUACCAGGAGUACCACGUGAAGGUAGCUGUGUGACUUGGACACGAGAGGCUAUACGUUGCGCAUUGCGUCCCAACUACGACUCGCUGUAAGGGGGCCUUAGUCCACAGCUCAAAGAAUCCAAUGAGUGGGUAUCAAGAGCUGAGGAGGCUGACCCUUAAGAGAGUCAUAGUUACUCUCGCCGUUUACCCGCGCUUGCUUGGAUUUCUUCACGUUGACAUUCAGAGCACUGGGCAGAAAUCACAUUGCGUCAACACCCGCGAGAGCCAUCGCAAUGCUUUGUUUUAAUUAGGCAGUCGGAUUCCCCUAGUCCGUGCCAGUUCUGAGCUGAGCGUUGACUGGCGGCCGAGGAGGACGACUGCGACGGCUCGCGCCGCCACGGGAGCCUUGCAGCAAGGAAGAUCCGCGGGAGGCCAGGCACGGGACCGAGCUCGGAUCCCGUGUUCGGCGCGAGAACGCCGAGCAUUCACCUCGCCCAGGUCCGGCACGUCAGCCAAACCCGUUUCCCGACCAAGCCCGACACGCCCCGCUCCUCAGAGCCAAUCCUUAUUCCGAAGUUAAGGAUCCAAUUUGCCAACGUCCCUUACCUACAUUAGUCUAUUGACUAGAGGCUCUUUACCUUGGAGACCUGCUGCGGAUAUGGGUACGAACCGGCGCGACACCUCCAUGUGGCCCUUUCCUGGAUUUUCAAGGUCCGAGGGGAAGAUCCGGACACCGCCGCAACUGCGGUGCUCUUCGCGAACCAAACCCUAUCACCCUGCUAAAGGUUUCCUGGGAACUCGAACGCUUAUACAGAAAAGAAAACUCUUCCCGGAUCUCCCGACGUCGUCUCCAGGUCAUUUUGGGUUACCCCGACGAACACACUUACGAGGGCCCGAAUUGUAUGCGGUUCCGCUGCCGGGUUCCGGAAUAGGAACCGGAUUUCCUUUCGCCCUACGGGCGUGUGUCAGAACACUUGAGCUCGCGAGCACACAGCUCGUCGUUCAGCGUGACGUACAGCGUCGCCCGGCACGCGGGCGCGCGCGUCACGCGCGACGAGUGAGAGUGUGCCAGUGCGAGACAGAGAGUAAAAACUUAGAGUAUAAGUACGCCGUCAUUGACGUAGGAUUUCUCCUAGGGCUUAGGAUCGACUGACUCGAGUGCAACGGCUUUUUACACGAACCCUUACUCUACGUCAGUCCUCCAGGGCCUCGCUGGA
rfam:Solenopsis invicta Si_gnG.contig85378, whole genome shotgun sequence.